CUUUGCUUUGCAAGUGGUGUCUAGUUUUAGCUUUUCAGUAGACCAUGGGUAGAGAGAUGCUGUUCAUGUGAUGAGCCUUGGUAAGAGCCCCUUAACUGCUGGCCAAAAUAAAAGACAACUUUACAGGGAGCUUAAAGAGGCGAAAACAGAAGAAGACACUGCAGUCUAAAGCACCCCUUGCUCUAACAAGCGGGAAGUUGCUACAGUGCUGCUCUAUGGAGCAUUUGGUAAAGGUCUGUGGAGAGCUAGAGUGCUCGAGUGGGCUCUGGUCUCUCUACCUGCAGCAGUCUUCGUCCUGUGCUCUCUAAAGAGAAGGAUGCAACCACGGUCGAUUAGCUGGUCAGAAUUUAGGGAGAGCAAGUAAGACAGCAGGAGGCCACUCUUCCAAUGAAAAGAUUUGCUUUAUUUUA